GACGAACGCUGGCGGCGUGCUUAACACAUGCAGUCGAGCGGUAAGGCCCUUUCGGGGGUACACGAGCGGCGAACGGGUGAGUAACACGUGGGUGACCUGCCCUCAGCUCUGGGAUAAGCCUGGGAAACCGGGUCUAAUACCGGAUAUGACUCCAUGACGCAUGUUGUGGGGUGGAAAGCCUUGUGCGGCUGAGGAUGGGCCCGCGGCCUAUCAGCUUGUUGGUGGGGUGAUGGCCUACCAAGGCGACGACGGGUAGCCGGCCUGAGAGGGCGACCGGCCACACUGGGACUGAGACACGGCCCAGACUCCUACGGGAGGCAGCAGUGGGGAAUCUUGCGCAAUGGGCGAAAGCCUGACGCAGCGACGCCGCGUGAGGGAUGACGGCCUGUGU
rnacentral:rRNA from 1 species